rnacentral:rRNA from 1 species
UGGGCUACAUCAACGGUUGCGAACGCUGGCGGUAGGCUUAACACAUGCAAGUCGUGCGAGAAAGUAUCUUCGGAUAUGAGUAGAGCGGCGGACGGGUGAGUAACGCGUAGGAAUCUACCUAGUAGAAGGGGAUAGCCCGGGGAAACUCGGAUUAAUACCGUAUACCUCCUUCGGGAGAAAGAAGGCCUCUCUUUGAAGCUUUCGCUACUAGAUGAGCCUGCGUAAGAUUAGCUUGUUGGUGAGGUAAAGGCUCACCAAGGCGACGAUCUUUAGCUGGUCUGAGAGGACGAUCAGCCACAUUGGGACUGAGACACGGCCCAGACUCCUACGGGAGGCAGCAGUGGGGAAUAUUGGACAAUGGGCGCAAGCCUGAUCCAGCCAUACCGCGUGUGUGAAGAAGGCCCUAGGGUUGUAAAGCACUUUAAGUUGGGAAGAAAAGUUAUUGGUUAAUACCCAAUGACCGUGACAUUACCUUCAGAAUAAGGACCGGCUAAUUCCGUGCCAGCAGCCGCGGUAAUACGGAAGGUCCAAGCGUUAAUCGGAAUUACUGGGCGUAAAGCGCGCGUAGGUGGUUUAUUAAGUUGGAUGUGAAAUCCCCGGGCUCAACCUGGGAACUGCAUCCAAAACUGAUUCACUAGAGUACGAUAGAGGGAGGUAGAAUUCACAGUGUAGCGGUGGAAUGCGUAGAUAUUGUGAAGAAUACCAAUGGCGAAGGCAGCCUCCUGGAUCUGUACUGACACUGAGGUGCGAAAGCGUGGGUAGCGAACAGGAUUAGAUACCCUGGUAGUCCACGCCGUAAACG